CCUACGGGUGGCUGCAGUGGGGAAUAUUGGGCAAUGGAGGCAACUCUGACCCAGCAACGCCGCGUGAAUGAUGAAGGUCUUCGGAUUGUAAAGUUCUGUGAUGGGGGAUGAACACAAUGACGGUACCCCAAUAGCAAGCCACGGCUAACUACGUGCCAGCAGCCGCGGUAAUACGUAGGUGGCAAGCGUUAGCCGGAAUGACUGGGCGUAAAGGGUGCGUAGGUGGUUUAGUAAGUUGGCGGUGUAAUUCCGGGGCUCAACCUCGGCGCUACCGCCAAGACUAGUAGACUAGAGUGCAGGGGGGGUAAGUGGAAUUCGUAGUGUAGCGGUGGAAUGCGUAGAUAUUAGGAGGAACACCGAUGGCGAAGGCGGCUUACUGGACUGUAACUGACGUUGAGGCUCGAAAGCGUGGGGAGCAAACAGGAUUAGAUACCCUUGUAGUC
rnacentral:rRNA from 1 species